UGUUUAUCUCAGGGCAGGGUGAAAGUCCCUACCGGCGGUAAAGUGAAAUAACUUUCUGGUGAUUUCAUUAAGCCCGCGAGCGCUCUGUUUGCAGUUAUCUUUUUGUUGUUCUCAGAUGUCUCAGAACAACGAUGGAUAAAACAGAGGUCAGCAGAUCCAGUGUGAUUCUGGAGCCGACGGUGAUAGUCCGGAUGGGAGAGAAUAACA
rnacentral:ncRNA from 2 species